rnacentral:lncRNA from 1 species
AUCUAUACAAUAUCCACACUCAAAUAAGUUCUCAUUACAAUUAUUGAUACACUAUUUUACAAAAUAGUGAGAACUAAUAAAACAACUUCUAGAACCAUCAUUCCAUAUCCCGACUAGUACUCGCUACAUUCUCGCCUCCUGAGAAGAAAAAUGGAACAAAAAAAGGGUGAGCUCAACUAGCCCAGUAAAAAAUAUUAUGACUAAGAUAAUAUAGAACAAAUUAUUGUUAGUCUUCAACAGGAAAAAAUCUGAUAGAAUAUAAUAGACAACAAAUUUCAGAUCAAUAUUCGCAGCGGAAAUAAUAAUUCAUAGAAGAGUUACGUAGAGAAUGAAAUCUACUAUUAUCUAUGAAUUUAAAAGUCCAUCAUCAAUAUUUUUUUCCUGCAACAUUAAUCAAUAUACAUCAUAGAUCAAAUAUUCAUCUUUGCACUACAGGCCAAAUAUAUUCAUCAGUUGGUUAUGUUCAUCUCAACACCUGUACAUGUUUGCACUACGGCCAAAGAUAUUCAUAAGAAAAUCAACCAUCUUUGCACUAUAGGCCAAAGAUAUUCAGUAAUAUUAUCAUUUAGGACUGAGGAUGAUGAAAAAUAUUUUAAAAAAAACGAAUCUAGUGAAACAAAAGAACAAAUAUUAAGGAUUCGUACUUUAAACAAUCCGAGUUCAAAAAUACUUCAUAAAUAAUCAUAGUGGAGCAAAAUUCAAGAAUGAUCAAAACAUGGAUACAAGCAAAACUAGUAUCCAUAAUAGAUAUUUUGGACAAAAAAUAAAAAUUAAUUUUUCUAUGAAUAGUGUCGUAUUCGUGAAUAGUGCCAUAUACGUGAAUAGUGCCGUAUACGUGAAUAGUAACCCCGACACUAAAAGACAAGAAAUUCAAAAGAAAAAUCUUACCAAUAUUCCAACAUAAUGAUAUUAGAAGAAAUAAUAUCAUUUUAAAAAAAAUAACAUCCCCUACUUCGAAAAGACAGUACUUCUGACUGGAAUACUGAAUAUAUUACUGAAGAAAACUUGAACCGUAUAGCAACACUCAAAGUAUCAAAAUACUCACAAGAAUACGCUCGAUAAUAUAGAGAGAGAAAGAGAGAGAAAACUUAUUUCUGGUGUGAUUUUCAAUUCUAACCUAAGCACCCUAUUUAUAGGAAAACGCUUUGAAUACCAAAGCAGAAAAUUUAAUAAAAUAUUAAUAUAUUUAUUAUAAAUUCCUACGCACACCAAAGACAUCUGAUUUCAGCCAUUAACAUGUGCAAGUGGGGCCCACCCAAGUGUAAAAAAUAUUUUUCUUAAAUAAAACAAUUAAAACUUUCAAAAAUCAAUUAUUCCGAAACUUUGGAGCUUCAAUAAUUCAUAACAAAUAGCCAUUUUAUCAGAAAAAUUUGAAUCUUAUGUCCAUUCCAUAGGAAAUUCAAUUCUCUACAACUUUGUAAGUAUAAGUUUUUCCAAAUUCCAAACAGAAAUUGACCAAAAUUCACAUACGGACGAUUUUACAGGCUAUAAUCAAAUUUCAGUCAAGAAAUGGGGUCCACAAACAUGAAAAACAUGUUUUAAAUAUUUUUAGUAACAAAAAUACUCUUCCUCCUCAUUUAUUCAUAUAUCCCACAUUCAUUGUAAAAAUAUCACCAUUAUUAUAUUAUUAAAAUAUAAUAAUAUAUUUAAAUGAAUUAUUUUAUCAGAAAAGAUAAAAUAUCAUUUUUUUAACAAUUGUCACUUUAAAAUUUUCUUCAUCGAUAUCUACAUAAAAUGAAUAUUUUCCUUAUCAUAUAAAUCAAUAAUUAAUUAUUCACAAAUAAUAUUACAGAAUCACAAUAUCGACAACCAGGCCAUUCCCAGAAAAGAGGAAGUUUUUCAAUAAGGAUUUCUCCUUACUAGCGCACAAUUAGGUGACCAAACCUUUCUUUAGACAGAACUUUUUAGACAUUGUCAAUAAUGCUAUCUAAUAAUAUUAUUCAAAUAAUAUGAAUUAUUGAUUUGAUAAUGAAAAAUACUGUGUAGUGACAAUUAUUGAAACAAUAAUAUAAAAUAUCAACGUAGCAAUUAUUGAAUCAAUAAAAUAAAAUAUUGAACAGUAAUUACUGUAAUAAUUAUUGAGUAGUGCCUUCUUACGUAAGAAUCAAUAAUUGGUGCAAUACCGUGUGCUACUGUGUUUUAACCACCGGGUAUUCCAACAGUAUUAACGAUAACAACUACGCCGUUAUUUAUAAACAACUUAUACUUGUCUUUUUCUUCAUCCAAUCACUUUCCGUUAUGGGGCCCACACAAGGCUGCGGCGUCGUACGAAUAUUCCUCGACAGCAAGAAUAUUCCACGACCAAACGAAUAUUCCCCGACAACAAUGAAUAUUUUAUAACCACUUGCUUAUUUGAAAUAUUUACGUAUUUUACCCAUAACUAACCACAUUAAUCAAAUCAACCCUUACUAUUUCAAAAUAAUAAAUAGAGAAAAUACAAUUUCAUUUAUAAUAAAUUUGGGGUCUUACAACUAGGACUAUAUAGGACUACGCCUAUUUGUAACCGAAUUCAACCUACAUGAAAUAGCUGGAAAGGGUUUAUGCUCCGAAUUAUGAUGGGACUGAGACUGCGAAAACCUCUCAGGUGAGGAAACAUCACUCAACCUAUUGCUCUUUGAUGAAGUAGGAGAGCCUUCUAAAUCUUCAGACUGGUUGGACAUGAUAUGAAGUUUCUUUAGAAGGUUCUUCAUAUUAUUUGUGCUAAGCUAUACAAGUCAAUGCUAGCGGAAAAAAAAUCUAGCCAUAAAACUCUCCAUUGUCUUGGACCAAACAUGAGAGCAGUGACAAAACCACAAGUACAAUGAUAGAUUUCAAGCCAACCCAGAAAGGCAGUUUAGGUCAACAACAAGAAACAUAAACCCAUCAAACAUAAACUUUUUAGUUUGAUGAUCAUUUACAAGAAACAAACACAAUUAUGUCUUAAAACUUAAAAGAUAUGGAACAAAAUGAUCAUUAAGAUUCAACUAUACAAUAAUUUUCUCCAUCUUUAACACAUAUUUUGGAAGUCGGAGUUUCUUGUGGUUUACAAUUUCCGUUAUAUCUACGGGAUCAUUAUAAAACCUUUGUUUAAAUUUGGUGUAUAAAAGUAAUAGUUUGGAGAACUUAGCGAAAUUCAACUCGAAUACUAUAGGCCUCAGCAGCUGGUAUAGUCAAAAAAAUAUUAUGUUUUGCGGGACAUAUUGACGACGGCUAAGCCGUCGAUAAUGACAUUAUUCUCGACGACAGUAUUCCCGAUGCUAAUGAGGCCGUCGUCAAUGACCAUAUAUUUGAAUUCACCACCACCGCGUUUCCAAACAUAUGUUCAUUUAUGAAUGCCACCUUGUGCUCCCUCAAUUUUUUGGUUGGACGCCCUUUCCGUCCAUUGUUAUUGACUAAACUCUUUAGCGACUCUGUAACUACCUAUGAAGAAAAAUAAUUCAAUUUAUUUGCUUGCUAGGGUGACUAAUAAUUUAUCUUGUACAAUACGAUUGGUUGUGGGUAGUCCAAAUAUCAGGUUGUGGCUAGUACAAAUAUCUAUAUUGUGGUUCUCUAUCAUUUGCAAGUAUUUCAAAGCUUGAAGGCAGGAUUGUGGGCCUGUAUUUUUAAGAAGAAUCAUACUAUGGCAUUGAACGAAACAGAAAACUUAAAGAGGAUAUAGGAAUUGUUGGAAUGUAGGCCAGAUAUAGAUUUUGAGAUUGUGCUAAACAGAGUCUCACUUUGAAUCAAUCCUAUACAAAGGCUGAAUUCAAGCAAGAGUUCGGGAAUUUGUUAGGAAGUGGUAGUUCUCAAAAUUUCAGCGCUUAGCCGAACUGAUGUUCCCAUGGGGCAGGUUAUUUGAUUAUUCUUGAGCCUGAUCGAUCUCUAAAUUACUUUGCUUUUGACAUCUACAAUGUUUUGGGACUUGAUGCAUAUCCUUUUAACUUGGAAAAUUAUGUGAAAUUCAUGACGAACAAUCUAGAGAGAACCCUGGUGUUGGAUAAACUUCUAUGACCUUAUGCUCCUUUGCGCAGAGGAUGUAAUACCUGCAGAAUAUUCUAGUUGCAUAAGAUGUUCUACCUGCCAGCGGGAAGGUAUGCUUGUUCUCAUGAUGAGCCCUAGUUAGCGUGUAUGCUAUUAUUUUGUGUCAUUCUAUGGUUAAUUUUGGGUUUUUUUGUGUUUAAUUUUGCCUUGCUUUGUAAGCAAAGUAAGUAAAGGACCUGUAAAUGUGUUUCUGAAAUUUUCAAUCCCUCUCCCAUGGUGAUAUUGUGGUCUUAGAUAUUUUAGGGAAGUAUGUUCUUUUAUUGUUUGCAACACAUUCUUCCUAUGCAUCUAGAAUUUUUUGCGAGAAAUUAAGAAAAUUUAUUCUGCACUGCUAGAGGCAGAUAACUGCUUUGAGAGUAUUUACAUCUCCUUGGAUUGCGAUAAUCCCUAUCUUCCUUCCCCAAUUGCAUCCAUGAAAUGUCAUGGUUGGUCUCCACUCUUUUGUCCUGAAUUUUUCUGCUUCUGUGCUCGAAAAGGUGUUCCUGUUUGAAUAUCCUAAUACACCCCUUCCUGCCAUUGCAGCCUUUGGGCCAAGUGGACAACUUUAAGUAAAAGAAUCCAACUUAGCUAUCAAAGAAAAAUGGCGUUCCAACUAUCUGUUCAUCGACUCAUAUUCAUGUGAAGAAGAGGUUCACAGGGAAUUUGUCAAUGGCUACAAAUGGAACAUGGGACUUAUUUUCCCUGUUAUCUCCUCCAGAAAGUAGAUUUGCACUUGAUGUGAUGGAUGAAUUACUCAAUGGUUUAGAUAUGUUGUUUGAGCAAGAUUGUGUUUUAAGUUUUAUGUUUGGUAAGCAACAAAGCUAAUAAUAGUAGUGGGCAGUUAAUAUAUGGUGUUUGAUCAAUUUUUGUGCGAUAAAAUAAGUAACUCCAUUCGUUACAAAAUUAGAUAUAUAUGUUUGUUUUAAAAUUAGGGAUACACUUCUAUUUUGAGAUAUAAAAUACCAUUAUAAUGUCCAAUGUACCCUUACAGAGGUUACUUGGAUAGAAUGGUUUGCAAUGAACAUUUCAUUGUCAUUUGUCCCCAUAAUUUGCCCCUUGAGUCCGGUGUUUCUCCUAUGUGUUGGGAUCACAAGUGACAUCCCUAAUGUAUUUUAGGCUUGAUAAGCUGGGGUUGGAUGUGGGUGUGAUUAGUAUAGGUGAGUUAGGCCAUGUAUCUGUCUAUUUCGCUAAAGGCUUCUGGGCAAGUCACCGCCAUUAGAUUAGUUGACUACAUUGAUUAAUUAAUCAGGGUGACCAAAAUUAAAAUGGGUUUAAAAUUUUCAAAAUUUUAACAUCUCUACGAUGCGGAAUUUCUAAUUCAAAAUUUCAUAAAACAUAGCAUGCAUACCUGUAAGCACUUGGAGCGUAAAAUUGAGAACUGCAACUUUCAUUUCCUAUACCUCUCAUACCAAAAGUAGAGUUCUGGAUCUGAAUCUUCGAGAGAGUGAUUACUAUUUAGCUCAGUCUGAAAACUGAGCACUUGAUCACUCACGUCCCACAAAAACAUUCCUUCUUUUGUUAGCAAGUUGCCAAGCCUUUUGACAGAGGAAGAAGAAACCAUGGUGUUUGAUUAUUAUGUGUAAGCUUCGGAGUCUCUCUCUCUUAUAUCAAUUGGAGAUCUAGGGUUAACAUUUCCACAAUUUUUC